GUGCUCACUUUGGCAGCGCAUAUGCUAAAAUUGGAACAAUACAGAGAAGAUUAGCAUGGCCCUUGCACAAGGAUGACACACAAAUUUGUGAAGCAUUUCAUAUUUUU